rnacentral:rRNA from 1 species
UACAGAGGGUGCAAGCGUUAAUCGGAAUUACUGGGCGUAAAGCGUACGUAGGUUGUUUUUUAAGUUGGCUGUGAAAGCCCCGGGCUUAACCUGGGCGGGCCAGCCGAUACUGGGAGACUAGAGUACAGUAGAGGGUAGUGGAAUUUCCGGUGUAGCGGUGAAAUGCGUAGAUAUCGGAAGGAACACCAGUGGCGAAGGCGGCUACCUGGACUGAUACUGACACUGAGGUACGACAGCAUGGGGAGCAAACAGG